GUAUUUCGGUUAUUAUGAUGGCUUUGUUUACAGCGUAACCGAUUGGGAGGAACGUGAUGCAGUUGGCCGCAUGCCAUAUACCUGCCGCUGACGGGAGGAGCCGAGUCGCGCUAUCGCCGCCCCGGAAGAUUAACCGGAAGAAGAGUCGGGCUAUAAAAGCGAGACACUGACACCGCAUCGGGCGCGGUUUGUUUCUGCUUGUGUGUGCAAUCGCGUGGUUUGUUUGUCUAUCUAAGUACUUGGUGUAUUGAGGUGUAUGUACAGCUGUGUGUGUUUGUGUAGUGUUGUGCUGACGGGGCUCGGACAGACCCGGUUGGACUCUUUCACCCACUAUCAGCUUGAUAAACCACCGGUUGCUGACCCUGAGUCUCCCCUAGGCCUACUUCGGGGUCGUAACAAUUGGGGGCUCGUCCGGGAUAUCCUUAUUUUUUUGUCUAUCCCGUGUAUUUGGUGGUUGUCGUGCUUGGUGUGUGGUUAGGUUAUCUGGGUAACGUGGACUUGUAGUUGCUACCGCUUUAAACAUGGCUACAUUUGAUCUGCAGGCCUUCGUGAGUGCUCCCUCUCUUGAGUGUUUGGAUAAUUGUAGAAAGGACAAUUUGUUAGAAAUUGCAGCCCAUUUUGAACUUCCUGUGCCAAGACAACUCGUAAAGAAAGAGAUUAAAAGGCUUAUAUUGGAAAAAUUGGUGGAGUUGCAUCUGUUAGGUCCUUCAGUUGACCCUGAAGUUGUUGUUGGCUUAAGUACUCCUGUUGAGGCUGUUGAACGGGAGUCUACAUUGCACCUCCCCAAGACUAAGGCAACUUUACCUAGGUUCGAACCAUUUUCUCCACAGACCUCUGGGUCCCGAGAGGGUGCCCGUGUAAAGGUGCGCGUAAGGCGCAUGGAACUGGAAAAGGAGGAGCGUGCGGAGCAAAGGAGGGCUGAAUAUGAAUUAAAGCUUGCGAUCCGUCGUAUGGAGCUGGAUUUGGAGAGGGAAAUUCGGUUCAGGGAAUUAGAUCUGAGGGUAAAGGCGUUUACUCCCAUGUCUUCUACCCAGCCGAGUCUGCCUUCUCUCUCCAUUCCUAAGCCUGAGCCUCCAGCUCCCCCUCCAGUUGUACCCGUUCCAGAAGGGGUUGUGGAUUCGAGCCCUUCUUUUGCCAUUACAAAACACAUUGCACUCAUGCCGCCUUUUAGAGAGACUGAAAUUGACACAUACUUUAGUGUGUUUGAGAGAAUUGCUAAUUCUCUAAAGUGGCCAAAAGAGUUGUGGACAUUAUUACUCCAAUGUAAGCUGGUUGGAAAAGCUCAGGAGGUCUGUUCUUCACUGUCUGUACCCGAUAGUAUGGAUUAUGACACGGUAAAAGCUGCAAUUCUUCGAGCAUAUGAGCUUGUACCUGAAGCUUAUCGUCAGAGGUUUCAGAACUUCAGAAAGACACAGACACAAACUUAUGUGGAGUUUGCUAGGGAGAAAGCUUUCCUUUUUGAUAAGUGGACUGCAGCAAGUAAGGUUAACAGUCAGGAGACAAUGAGGGAACUAAUGCUUCUAGAGGAUUUUAAAAAUUGUCUGCCUGAACGAGUUUCAGUUUAUUUGAAUGAGUGCAAGGUUAACACUCUGUCCCAAGCUGCUAUGUUGGCUGAUGAAUUUAUCCUAACACACAAAACAUUGUUCUUAUCUAAACCUAAGCAACCAAUUCCAGGUGAACAGAAGCCAAAACCAGAACAGCCAGGACCAGUGAGUUCCCCUGGUCGCAACAGGACAAGAUCAUUAAAUGUUGAUUGUUUUUAUUGUCACAGGCCUGGUCAUGUGGCUGCUGAUUGUUUUGCCUUGAAACGAAAGCAGGAGAGACAGGAAAAGAGUUCUGGUCUUGAUGUCAAACAACCAAAAGGUGUGGGGUUUGUGAAAACCAUUUCUCAACAGUCUGUGGUAAGUGCAGAUGAAUGCUACAAACCAUUUCUUUCUCGUGGUAGUGUGUCUAUUUUAGAAGGUAAGGAACAAGAGAUUGUAAUUCUGUGACACUGGAGCAGCUCAGUCUUUUAUUCGUGAAGGCUUACUUGCCCUAUCAGAACACACAUUUACUGGAUCUUAUGCUCUUUGCCAGGGCUUAGAGAUGGGGUAUGUUUGUGUUCCCUUGCAUUAUGUGUCUUUGAAAUCUGGUGUUGUGACUGGUACUGUUAAAGUUGGAGUUCGGCCGGUUUUACCAGUUACUGGUGUAGAUUUUAUUCUAGGUAAUGACCUAGCUGGUGGGAAAGUUGUUCCAGUAGUGGAAGUGUCUGAGGUUUGUGCUGAUUGCCAAUCUGAUGAUCUGGCAGAGAAACUUCCAGAGGUUUUUUCUUCAUGUGUGGUAACACGGUCCCAAGCAAAAUAUUCUGGUGAUGUUUUGGAUCUUUCUGACUCAUUUUUCACACAAGAAAACUCUGGGGAAUUAGUUCAGCCAGAUGUUAAAACCCAGCUGCUUACAGGCCCCUUGUCUAGUAAGUGUUACUAGAAAUGAAUUAAUUUCGGAACAACAUUGUGAUGAAAGUUUACACUCCUUCUUUACUGCGAUACCUGACAUUAAUGAUGUGGACAAGAAACAAGUGGCUUUCUUUCUAGAUGAAGGUUUGUUGAUGCGCAAGUGGACUUCUAGAGUAGAUGAAACUAAAGAUGCUGGUUUUCAGAUUGUGGUUCCUUUAAAGUAUCGACACUUGGUUUUGAGUGUAGCCCAUGAUCAUCCCUGGUCUGGACAUUUGGGGGUUACCAAGACAUACAACCGAGUGUUGAAACAUUUUUUCUGGCCACGGCUACACCAAGACGUAGUUAAGUAUUGACAUGUCUCACAUAAAGCACAGAAGGUAGGAAAACCAAACCAGGUGAUUCCUCCUGCUCCCUUGCACCCUAUUCCUGUGAUGGGAGAACCUUUUGAAAAGGUGUUGGUUGACUGUGUAGGUCCUUUGCCCAAAACAAAAGCAGGAAAUCAGUUUUUACUCACUAUUAUGUGUACUGCUACAAGAUUUCCAGAGGCAAUUCCACUACGCCGAAUUACAGCACAGACUGUAGUUAAAGCACUUACAAAGUUCUUUACUACAUUUGGCCUUCUAAGGGUAGUGCAGACAGACAGAGGAACUAACUUUACGUCCACUUUGUUUUCACAGAUCAUUCAAAUGCUAGGGGUACAACAUCAAAUGUCAAGUCCGUACCAUCCAGAGUCACAAGGCGCAUUAGCACGAUUUCAUCAGUCCUUAAAAUCUAUGUUGAGGAAGUUUUGCAUGGACAGUGGAAAAGACUGGGACGAGGGUGUGCCAUUGGUUUUGUUUGCUGCUCGAGAGGCAGUUCAGGAAUCUUUGGGGUUCAGUCCAGCGGAACUAGUUUUUGGACAUUCUGUAAGAGACCCAUUGAAGGUAUUAAAAGAGAUAUUCAUGUCUAAUAAAGUAGAGCCACGCAAGAAUGUUUUGGAUUAUACCAGUGCUUUUCGUGAACGGUGGCACAGAGCUUGUCAGCUAGCAAAGAAAAUGCUAGAUAAGUCGCAGGCUAAGAUGAAGCGGUGUUUUGACCAAAGAUCAGUGUCCCAUGAAUUUUAAAACGAGUGACAAAGUGCUGGUUCUUUUACCCAUUCUUGGGUCUGCACUGUCUUCAAAGUUUCUAGGGCCGUAUAUAAUCAAGGAGAAGUUAAGUCAAACUGAUUAUGUCAUUGAUACGCCAGACACGUAAGAGUCGAGUGUGUCAUAUAAAUAUGUUGAAGCCAUUUCUAGAUCGGGAAAUGCCUGUGGAGGGUCUUCCGGUUCCUGAACUUGUGCAAGGUGGACAGAAAGCUGCUGUAGCAGUAGUGUCUAUUGCUGCGUCUUGAGAGUCUGAUGAGCACUUAGUUAAGCAGUCUUCAACCCAGUUGGGGGCUAGACUCAUGAACUCCCAGAUUUUAAAAACUCUUGAGUCUUAUAGUCUCUCGCUGGUUGCUCAUUUACCUGACCUUCAGCGUAGAGAUAUUGUGGCUUUAAUUAAGGAGUUUCCCUCCAUAUUUAUUGACGUGCCCACACAGACAUCUGUCUUACAACAUGACAUUAAAGUGAUAAAGGAUACACCAUUAAAACAACAUCCUUAUCGUCUCAAUUCCACCAAACGUGAAAUCUUGCGUAAGGAAGUGGAAUACUUGUUGGAACAUGGUUUAGCAGUCCCUAGCUGUAGUCCGUGGAGCUCACCAUGUGUGUUGGUGCCAAAACCUGACGGUACUUUUAGACUCUGUACAGACUAUAGAAAACUCAAUGCCAUAACUGUGACUGAUUCAUUUCCUCUGCCGCGAAUUGACGACUGCAUUGAUACGGUAGGUAAGGCCAGUUUGUUACAAAGUUGGCUCUUCUUAAAGGAUACUGGCAGGUCCCACUAACCCCAAGGGCUUCCGAGCUGUCUGCGUUUGUGAUGCCAGAUGCUUUUUUACAGUAUACAGUGAUGCCUUUUGGGUUGAAAAACUCACCUGCUACGUUCCAAAGACUUGUUAAUACAGUUCUUGCUGGUGUACCAAAUUGCAUAGCCUAUUUGGAUGAUUUGGUCAUACAUUCUUGUGAUUGGCAAAGUCAUGUGAAGUCUCUUCGAACUGUGUUUACCAAGUUAAAAGAGGCUAAUUUGACACUAAACUUGGCAAAAUGUGAAUUUGCACAAGCUACUGUGGUUUAUCUUGGGAUGAGGGUUGGUCAUGGAAUUGUUUGUCCACUGGAAGCUAAAAUUAAGGCCAUUAUUGAUUUUUCUGUGCCCACAACCCGACGUGAAUUGCGUAGAUUUUUAGGAAUGGUUGGCUAUUAUUGUGGGUUUUGCAAAAACUUUUCUUCUGUUGCAGAACCUCUAACUUCAUUGCUGAGCCCUGCUGCUACCUUCAGGUGGUCUCAUGAUUGUCAACUUGCUUUUAAUAAUGUGAAAGCUUUGUUGUGUUCUGCUCCGGUUCUAGCUGCCCCUGACUUUGCUAAACCUUUUAAGUUGGAAAUUGAUGCGAGUGGUGUGGGGAUCGGCGCAGUAUUACUUCAGGAAGGUAAAAAUGAAGUAAAUCAUCCAGUCUGCUACUACUCACGUAAGUUAAAUAAACAUCAGGUAAAAUAUUCUACUAUUGAGAGAGAAGCACUGGCGUUACUUCUGGCUCUGCAGCACUUUGAGGUGUACGUAGGCUCAAGCCUAUGGCCUGUAGUUGUGUACACAGAUCAUAAUCCCCUUGUGUUUUUAUCUAGGAUGUACAACCACAAUCAACGGCUAAUGAGGUGGUUUCUGGUUAUACAAGAAUAAAAUUUGGAGAUGAGACACAAAAAGGGUGUUGAAAAUAAAAUACCUGAUGCUCUUUCUAGAGUGUAAAAUAUCCUAGUAGGAUAAUUUUUUUUUUUUUGAGGAAGGGCGUGUUACGUGCCACGACACGUAUUUUGGUUAUUAUGAUGGCUUUGUUUACAGCGUAACCGAUUGGGAGGAACGUGAUGCAGUUGGCCGCAUGCCAUAUACCUGCCGCUGACGGGAGGAGCCGAGUCGCGCUAUCGCCGCCCCGGAAGAUUAACCGGAAGAAGAGUCAGGCUAUAAAAGCGAGACACUGACACCGCAUCGGGCGCGGUUUGUUUCUGCUUGUGUGUGCAAUCGCGUGGUUUGUUUGUCUAUCUAAGUACUUGGUGUAUUGAGGUGUAUGUACAGCUGUGUGUGUUUGUGUAGUGUUGUGCUGACGGGGCUCGGACAGACCCGGUUGGACUCUUUCACCCACUAUCAGCUUGAUAAACCACCGGUUGCUGACCCUGAGUCUCCCCUAGGCCUACUUCGGUUUCUUAACAUGCACAGUCAUGUUGGAAGAGGAAGGGGCCAGCUCCAAACUGUUCCCACAAAGUUGGGAGCAUGGAAUUGUCCAAAAUGUCUUGGUAUGCUGAAGCAUUCAGAGUUCCUUUCACUGGAACUAAGGGGCCAAGCCCAGCUCCUGAAAAACAACCCCACACCAUAAUCCCCCCCUCCACCAAACUUUACACUUGGCACAAUGCAGUCAGACAAGUACCGUUCUCCUGACAACCGCCAAACCCAGACUCGUCCAUCAGACUGCCAGAUGGAGAAGCGCGAUUCGUCACUCCAGAGAACGCGUCUCCACUGCUCUAGAGUCCAGUGGCGGCGUGCUUUACACCACUGCAUCCGAUGCUUUGCAUUGCACUUGGUGAUGUAUGGCUUGGAUGCAGCUGCUCGGCCAUGGAAACCCAUUCCAUGAAGCUCUCUGCGCACUGUUCUUGAGCUAAUCUGAAGGCCAUAAGAAGUUUGGAGGUCUGUAGCGAUUGACUGCAGAAAGUUGAAUGAAUGCAAUACACAAAUGUUUCUGACCACUGCACGCGCACCUUUUGCAGUCCCUCGCGUGUCUCGUGUUCAAAUGAUUUCAACUUUUCCAAGCAGCUCAUCAAUGUCAGAAGAUUGGACCAAUCAGAAGGCUCCAGAGGCAUCAUGGCACAUCCUGAGAGCUUGGCGUUCAGUACUGCGCUUUUUAAACUAUUCCCAAACACAGAGUCUUGUAUUUGUAGACACAAACAUGCCUUCUGUGUGAAUGUGUUAUUCUGUGUGAAUGCUUUAUCUGCAGGCUUACAGUGUCCGGUGUUUUAUUGUGUAAAGAGUGCUGCGUUACUCCUCAUUCACAAUGUAGAUGAUAAACAGCGCUAAUAGUUGUAGUGCAAGUGUUAAGUACUGUCAAAGUAAAACAGUUUGAUCAAAAUAAACAAACAAUAUUUCUUUUUAAUCAGUAUUUGUUACCAAUUAAAAAUAAUGCAAUGCAAAAUUUCUGGAAGACUGAAUGGAUCAUAACUCGGUAGUCUAGUAGUUCUGCCUCUUUAAGAAACACAAACAGUUUGUGGUGUAAGUUUUAAAAGGUCAAAAGUUUCCUGCUUAAAAGCUAAAAAAAACAUUGUGGCAGUGUAAAGGUUUCGUUUUACGUUCAUAUUUG